rnacentral:rRNA from 1 species
GAUGAACGCUGGCGGCGUGCCUAAUACAUGCAAGUCGAGCGAACAGACGAGGAGCUUGCUCCUCUGACGUUAGCGGCGGACGGGUGAGUAACACGUGGAUAACCUACCUAUAAGACUGGGAUAACUUCGGGAAACCGGAGCUAAUACCGGAUAAUAUAUUGAACCGCAUGGUUCAAUAGUGAAAGACGGUUUUGCUGUCACUUAUAGAUGGAUCCGCGCCGCAUUAGCUAGUUGGUAAGGUAACAGCUUACCAAGGCAACGAUGCGUAGCCGACCUGAGAGGGAGAUCGGCCACACUGGAACUGAGACACGGUCCAGACUCCUACGGGAGGCAGCAGUAGGGAAUCUUCCGCAAUGGGCGAAAGCCUGACGGAGCAACGCCGCGUGAGUGAUGAAGGUCUUCGGAUCGUAAAACUCUGUUAUUAGGGAAGAACAAAUGUGUAAGUAACUAUGCACGUCUUGACAGUACCUAAUCAGAAAGCCACGGCUAACUACGUG